AACGAACGCUGGCGGCAUGCCUAACACAUGCAAGUCGAACGGGAUCCUAGCUUGCUAGGUGAGAGUGGCGGACGGGUGAGUAACACGUGGGAAUCUGCCUUUUGGUUCGGGAUAACCGCGGGAAACUGCGGCUAAUACCGGAUGCUCCCGAGAGGGAAAAGAUUUAUCGCCAGAAGAGGAGCCCGCGUCCGAUUAGGUAGUUGGUAGGGUAAUGGCCUACCAAGCCAACGAUCGGUAGCUGGUCUGAGAGGAUGAUCAGCCACACUGGGACUGAGAUACGGCCCAGACUCCUACGGGAGGCAGCAGUGGGGAAUAUUGGACAAAUGGGGGGCAACCCUGAUCCAGCAAUGCCGCGUGAGUGAUGAAGGCCUUAGGGUUGUAAAGCUCUUUUGCCAGGGAAGAUGAUGACUGUACCUGGAGAAUAAGCCCCGGCUAAACUUCGUGCCAGCAGCCGCGGUAAU
rnacentral:rRNA from 1 species